rnacentral:rRNA from 1 species
UGGAUCCAGACUUUGAUCAUGGCUCAGGAUGAACGCUAGCUACAGGCUUAACACAUGCAAGUCGAGGGGCAGCAUGAACUUAGCUUGCUAAGUUUGAUGGCGACCGGCGCACGGGUGAGUAAUACGUAUCCAACCUUCCGUUUACUCAGGGAUAGCCUUUCGAAAGAAAGAUUAAUACCUGAUAGUAUGGUGAGAUUGCAUGAUAGCACCAUUAAAGAUUUAUUGGUAAACGAUGGGGAUGCGUUCCAUUAGGUAGUAGGCGGGGUAACGGCCCACCUAGCCGACGAUGGAUAGGGGUUCUGAGAGGAAGGUCCCCCACAUUGGAACUGAGACACGGUCCAAACUCCUACGGGAGGCAGCAGUGAGGAAUAUUGGUCAAUGGGCGAGAGCCUGAACCAGCCAAGUAGCGUGAAGGAUGAAGGUCCUACGGAUUGUAAACUUCUUUUAUACGGGAAUAAAGUAUCCUACGUGUAGGAUUUUGUAUGUACCGUAUGAAUAAGCAUCGGCUAACUCCGUGCCAGCAGCCGCGGUAAUACGGAGGAUGCGAGCGUUAUCCGGAUUUAUUGGGUUUAAAGGGAGCGCAGACGGGAGAUUAAGUCAGUUGUGAAAGUUUGCGGCUCAACCGUAAAAUUGCAGUUGAUACUGGUUUCCUUGAGUGCAGUUGAGGCAGGCGGAAUUCGUGGUGUAGCGGUGAAAUGCUUAGAUAUCACGAAGAACCCCGAUUGCGAAGGCAGCUUGCUAAACUGUAACUGACGUUCAUGCUCGAAAGUGUGGGUAUCAAACAGGAUUAGAUACCCUGGUAGUCCACACGGUAAACGAUGGAUACUCGCUGUUGGCGAUAUACUGUCAGCGGCCAAGCGAAAGCAUUAAGUAUCCCACCUGGGGAGUACGCCGGCAACGGUGCAACUCAAAUGAAUUGACGGA